GGGUUGUGAGGUUAAGCGACUAAGCGUACACGGUGGAUGCCCUGGCAGUCAGAGGCGAUGAAGGACGUGCUAAUCUGCGAAAAGCGUCGGUAAGGUGAUAUGAACCGUUAUAGCCGGCGAUGUCCGAAUGGGGAAACCCAGUGCAAUUCGUUGCACUAUCGUUAACUGAAUACAUAGGUUAACGAGGCGAACCGGGG
rnacentral:rRNA from 1 species